GAUCUAACGUGAAGGGAAUGUUGUUAGACUAAGAUCUAACAGGGAGGAAAUACGUUAGUGACAACGAUCUAACGUGACGGGAAUGUUGUUAGACUAAGAUCUAACGGGGAGGGAAUACGUUAGUGACAACGAUCUAACGUGAAGGGAAUGUUGUUAGACUAAGAUCUAACAGGGAGGGAAUACGUUAGUGACAACGAUCUAACCUCUGAAGGGAAUGUUGUUAGACUAAGAUCUAACGGGGAGGGAAUACGUUAGUGACAACGAUCUAACAUGACGGGAAUGUUGUUAGACUAAGAUCUAACAGGGAGGGAAUACGUUAGUGACAACGAUCUAACGUGAAGGGAAUGUUGUUAGACUAAGAUCUAACGGAGGAAAUACGUUAGUGACAACGAUCUAACGUGAAGGGAAUGUUGUUAGACUAAGAUCUAACGGGGAGGGAAUACGUUAGUGACAACGAUCUAACGUGAAGGGAAUGUUGUUAGACUAAGAUCUAACAGGGAGGGAAUACGUUAGUGACAACGAUCUAACGUGAAGGGAAUGUUGUUAGACUAAGAUCUAACGGGGAGGGAAUACGUUAGUGACAACGAUCUAACGUGAAGGGAAUGUUGUUAGACUAAGAUCUAACAGGGAGGAAAUACGUUAGUGACAACGAUCUAACGUGAAGGGAAUGUUGUUAGACUAAGAUCUAACGGGGAGGGAAUACGUUAGUGACACCGAUCUAACGUGAAGGGAAUGUUGUUAGACUAAGAUCUAACAGGGAGGGAAUACGUUAGUGACAACGAUCUAACGUGAAGGGAAUGUUGUUAGACUAAGAUCUAACGGGGAGGGAAUACGUUAGUGACAACGAUCUAACGUGAAGGGAAUGUUGUUAGACUAAGAUCUAACAGGGAGGGAAUACGUUAGUGACAACGAUCUAACGUGAAGGGAAUGUUGUUAGACUAAGAUCUAACGGGGAGGGAAUACGUUAGUGACAACGAUCUAACGUGAAGGGAAUGUUGUUAGACUAAGAUCUAACAGGGAGGGAAUACGUUAGUGACAGUGAUCUAACGUGAAGGGAAUGUUGUUAGACUAAGAUCUAACGGGGAGGGAAUACGUUAGUGACAACGAUCUAACGUGAAGGGAAUGUUGUUAGACUAAGAUCUAACAGGGAGGGAAUACGUUAGUGACAACGAUCUAACGUGAAGGGAAUGUUGUUAGACUAAGAUCUAACGGGGAGGGAAUACGUUAGUGACAACGAUCUAACGUGGAGGGAAUGUUUUUAGACUAAGAUCUAACAGGAAAGGAAUAACCAGAGACUACGAUCCAACAAAUGCUAACAAAUUGCAAAAUAACAAAGAUUGCUAUUUUGUGUAAUGAGAUUUUUUUUUCUUAUUUAUCACUUUGAUAUUAUCAUGUUCAAGUUUCCUUGUGGCUAUGGCCACAUAUGGAUCUGAAGUAGAAAUUAGACGAUGUGAAAAGAAAGGCAGUACAAUAUACAAUAUCUUAGUAUUUCUAGAAUUGUUAUAUGUAAGAAUUUUGUGCUUUGCUAGUGUCCAACUAUGAAUCCUUUUCUGCCAAGAAUCCAUGACAAAGAUCCAAGGUUUGCGGAAGUUUUUACCUCAGCACCGAAACGCCAAGAGAAUUAAAUGUUGGCCAAUAAAAGCUGUUUAGUGUAUGUGAAUUUUCUUUUUUAAAGAUAAUGCCCACUUAAGUUAACUUCAUUUUUUUUCUGUAGAAAGUUCUGACUAGGAUUAAAAAAGCUGAAAUUUGAACUUCAGGGUAUUUGUAAGUUUGAAAUUAUUACAUGAUAAGCCCAGACUCUACUUUACAGCUCUGCUUAGACCAUCACCACCACUUUUGCCAACUGACCAUCACACUAUAUAGAAUUUUGUUAUAGUUUUUUGAAAUGAUGGAGUAAAUGUCCAUCAAUCUAAUAAAAAGUUGAAGCGUCACCAUACUGAGAUUUAGUACAGAAGUGCUGUUAUAGCUAAUGUUAACAAUUAAGAACAAUCCGCUAUCGAUAUGCUAUUUUAAUGUUACAACAGAAAAAAUGUAGUUGGACAUUGACAGAAUAGCUAAAUUUUGAUUUCUCUUGCUCGUGUCGUUAAAUAUCAUUCCACAAAAAACUUUUAUAUAUAAUGUCAUGAAAGCAAGGGAAAAUACCCAAACUAUCUAAACAUUGAAAUUUCAGACAAGCAAGCAAGCAUAUUUUCUUCAAAGUAAAAGUUGUAAUUGUACAUUCCACAUGUUUGAAAUGUUGAAAAUUAUAGCUUAUGCCACUUUUUAUUUUGUGUUAAAAAAAAUUUUGUGUUAUUAAUACAUCCUAUAAAUAUUAUUUUUUCAGCUGCGGUGUACUUUGUUCCAGAACAUUAUCCUGUAAAUAUGACACAUGUUGAAACAGGAUUUUUCUACCAGACAACCAUCCGUAAAUUUAUGAUUGGCAAUUUAUCAGAGAAUUACAGCUUCUUGUCACAUUUGGAAUUGUUUGCAACUUCAACUUUGAUAUUCUCAAAGUGCUUCAUACGUCGGAGAAACCGAUGGUGGAGAAACUGCCCAAAGAAGAGAGAACAGCAUUAAUAAAAAUUCGACAACAGUAGCGUCGAAAUGUGGCAACAAGGCGACAAUUCAGAAAUGGCAUUAUCUAUAGGUUCCAAUGAAUAAUUAUUUAUUUAAAUUUAUAAUAGUCAACCUCCUCACGGGCUCCAUGAUUAAGAACCCUUGAAUCUAUUCAAUACUGCAAAAUAUGGCAGACUAAAACAGGACAGAUAGGCUCAAUUCAUUCUCACUAUUGUAUUUAGAGCAGUGCUUUCAAGUCUCUUUUCAGGAUUAUCUCAUCUGACAUAAAUGUUUCUGUAACCUUAGUUAUGUCCAUCCAGCAAUAUGGGGCUUAGCAUAUCAUCUUUCUGUGUAACCAAUUUAUUCAGUCAGCAGUGCAAACUGGACAGGAAAAAACAAGAGACAAUGGUGAUAGGCCCAAAGAAGCAUAAAACGCAUGUGCUGUAAUGUGACAAACUGUUUGCUAUUCAUAUACGCAUGGAAUUGGGUCAAUAGUCUGGUAUUAAAUGAUGUACUACAGAUGAAGCAGCUACUCACAUUAAAAACAUAUUAAACGGAGUUUCUACCCGUGAUGGAGAAAGUUCUAAAAGUGCUGCUGCAUUACAACUUGGUGAUAAAGUUUGAUUGGUCUGCAAAGUGACUCGCUUCAAGAUUUGGGGAAUAGUGCAUCUUGGUAUUGAUGUUAGGCCGGGUUCAUAUCUUGCCAGUGGUUGUACAAAAAUGGUUGAGGUCACAGAACUUGUUUGACCGACGAUCAGUCGUGAUUAGGCUUUUAAAUUGGCUCUUUUGUUUUAAUUCGAAUAGCAGUGAAAUACAAUAAACACGUGUUGUGAAAUGUAAAAAAAUGCAAUAUUUUCAAAUCAAGGCGGUCACAUUGCCAGGUUUCGGAAUGUUGGAUCACCCAAGGCUUGGACUGCACGCGAGUUCGAUUUGGCUAUCUUGCUGUAUUUAAAAACAUUUUAUGUCAUCAGUAUUCAACACUAGAUGUAGCUUUGAACAAAAGCUUGUGUUAUUAGAGUUGGCCUCUUGAACAAUUAAUUACCCCAAUUUCGGAGUUUUAUGCCCAUUUCAGUAACGAAAACAAAAUUAAUUUUUCCCAAAAUCCGAACAAAGACUUCCCGUAGGAAUCAAAUUACUCCACGUUUAAGAACAUAACAAGUUGCGUCCUGUCAUUAUCAAAUUAAAAUUUUAUAUUCUCAAGACCUUUGACACUGAUUGAAAUAAUUAUAUUUAAGUUCCCAUCCGUACGACGUACAUGAUUACCCAUAUUAAAAUAAUAAUAAGAGUUUCUGUUUGCACUAUAUAUACUCAAUCAAACAGCAAUAAUAUUAAAAACGUGAUUAUCUUUCAAUAGGAAGCUAGUCUUGAUAAAUUUUACGACUGUACUCUGUGUGUUGUGGAAAUCUAUGAAUAAAAUCAAAUAGUUUUCUAACGUACCUUCAUUCACGUGGGCGUUAACGCUGAAGGGUGUGUGAAUGGACGACUUGCAAUACUGAGACGGUCUACAAAUUAGCACUAUACGGUGACAUCACAUUCAUUUACAAUAUAUUUGAUAUAGUAUAAUCAUUGGAUUACAUUAUUUUUGCACCCAUGACUAUUGCAUCUGCAUACUCUUAUACCCACGAACAUUUGCAUCCACGUACAGAAUGCACCCAUGAACAUUUGAACCUUGGACCCAUGGGCAUUUGUACCUACAGACAUUUGAACCCAACGGAC